UACUAAUAACGCUACCGCGUUACUAAUAAUUAUUGUCUGUGCAUUCCUCUCCCUUUGUCCCAUCUACCUUGGUACUAAAGAAGCAAGUUGGCGGCAGGUUAUAGGAAUAAUCAUAGGCGGUUCGAGGAUUGUGGAAGCAGGUGGGCGAGGGAGAGAAUAAAAUGGCGCGCGAAGCGCGCCGCGAUUUUGACCACGCCCACUAUUUCCCGCUGCGCGGAACUACAUUUUCCCGUAAUAUUAGGGGCCUCGCAAUAUUUAAUUUUUCAACCAUUGUCAUCCUCUGUGCAUGUGCCGUGAGUGUGACUUCGUGAUUGACUAUGAGACUUUAGUCUCGCUAGCCAGACCAUUCCCCAGCCUACAGCCAUUUACGUCCACCCCAAUGACUGUAGGCUGGGGAAUGGUCUGGCUAGCGAGACUAAUCAGACUCAGCAUCACUAGAAGUAGAAGUAUCACAAGGAAGAUCAUAAUCAUUAGUCUCUAACUCUGUGAAAUCAACUGACACUAGAUCUGGCUCAUCUAUAGAAAUUUCAGGAGGCAAGAAAGAAUUAUGCUGACGCUUGGUUGCCAUUGCAAGAAAUGAUUACAAAAUUAACAUUCAAAAUAUUCAUGAAAAGUUAAUUUUAAUAACAAUAAUAAUUAAUUUUAAUGAUUAUGAUGACUUCCUUUUCCUGUCAAAACUUCAGGGUGGGCAUUGCCCCUUAAUGCCCACCCCUGGAACCGCCUAUGGGAAUAAUGGCAGAACUGUAAUGCCUCUGUCAAUAUUAAUGGCUAAAAAAUCAAACGUCAUUAGUCUCGUAACCUGCAAGUACAGCCAUACUUUUCACAAUAUUAUUACAUUGUGUUAAUUAUUAUUAUUGGGUGGGGUCUGUAUACACUUCUUGAAAUGCAGAUAGACUUUAGUAUUUUGAAUCCAUGUGUGUGAUAGCAACUUUGCUCGCAUUAAUUUUUUACAAUAACUCCUGGAUUUAGGAUCAGGGUUUGUUUUGUGUAGUUUAUGUACUUAAUUUUAUGUAUUACCUGAUUUGUUGUACUGAAGGUGAUUGUGACGAGUUGGACUAUUUCAAAUGGUUAAAGGUUUAUUUUCAACGGAUAUAAUAGUAGAUGAAGGAAUAUCAAACCCACAUGUGGAAGUGUCAACACCGGAGGAAGUUACAGACACUUCUAUGUUACAGUUUUGGUGUCCUAAGACUGGUCUUGAGAUUGAAGAAAUUCCUUAUGACCUUUUUUUUUAACACUGAAAAUAACUAAUAUAUACAUAAUAUUUUGAUUCAUCAUGAUACUUAAUGAUAAAAUCAAUGAUACUUUAGUUUAAUGAUAUUUGAAAUGAUCAUAAAA